rnacentral:rRNA from 1 species
ACGGAGGGUGCAAGCGUUAUUCGGAUUUAUUGGGCGUAAAGGGCGCGUAGGCGGUCGGGUAAGUCUGGUGUGAAAACGCUACCGCUAACCGGAGCGCAUGCGCUGGAUACUGAUUGACUUGAGUUCGAGAGAGGUGAGCGGAAUGCCUGGUGUAGCGGUGAAAUGCUUAGAUAUCAGGCAGAACACCAGUGGCGAAGGCGGCUUACUGGGUUGAUACUGACGCUGAGGCGCGAAAGCGUGGGGAGCAAACAG